CACAUCCACUUUGUAGUUAUAUUUACACCUACAAAUAUAAUUACAAAAUGGAUUUUGGCUCAUGUAUUAUUAAGGGUAUAUCCUGAGAAUAGUGGAAAUCAGUGAACAAAUCCCCCUUUAAUAGCAAAUACAACCCCUAUUGAUAAUACAUAGUGGAAAUGUGCAACUACAUAGUAUGUGUCGUGGAGAACAAUAUUGAGAGAACAAUUGGCAAGAACAAUUCCAGUUAAGCCUCCAACUGUAAAAAGGAAAACAGAGCCUAGAGCUCAUAUUAUAGCAGGUGAUCAUUUAAUGUUACCUCCGUGAAGUGUUGCUAAUCAACUAAAGACUUUCACUCCAGUUGGGAUGGCAAUAAUUAUGGUAGCUGAUGUGAAAUAGGCUCGUGUGUCAACGUCUAUUCCAACUGU